rnacentral:rRNA from 1 species
UUGUGCCUACGGGGGGCAGCAGUGGGGAAUAUUGCACAAUGGGGGAAACCCUGAUGCAGCGACGCCGCGUGGGUGAAGAAGUAUUUCGGUAUGUAAAGCCCUAUCAGCAGGGAAGAUAGUGACGGUACCUGAGUAAGAAGCCCCGGCUAACUACGUGCCAGCAGCCGCGGUAAUACGUAGGUGGCGAGCGUUAUCCGGAAUGAUUGGGCGUAAAGGGUGCGCAGGCGGUCCUGCAAGUCUGGAGUGAAACGCAUGAGCUCAACUCAUGCAUGGCUUUGGAAACUGGAGGACUGGAGAGCAGGAGG